rnacentral:snoRNA from 12 species
GAGCAAUGAUGAGUCUGUAUUUGCCUGACUGCAAAAAAAGAUGAAGUCUUCUACACUUGAACUGAGCUCA